UUUAGACAAACAACGUCGUGGACGCAGGUGCAUCGCAGCUCCGGACAUCUUGUCCACUUUAAACGCUGCUUAUGGAUCACAAUGUGUACGUCACAAGAGGCCACCCAGGCCAAAGCGCUGGACAGAAGUACGAGGCUACGUCUCGAGUCAGCCCCGAACGGCACUUCAGUGAACCCAAACAGAAAGGGAGGCGUGGUGCUACAGAGCCUGGCGUUGAGACUCGAGACAAAAGUGAAAUGCAAUGUGGCUGAUGCAGUGACUUACUGAGAAUCACCCAAGGCCUCCGUGCAGGGGAGUGAAGCAACCUUGGCAACCUUCAAAUUGCAUUCAGUGCCAUUCUGUGAGGAAUACCAUCUUCAGUCUCUUACAGGUAACAGACCAUCCACGGGAAAUCCCGCUCGCUUUCCGGCCCCAGUGACGACGUUUACUUCUGGUCCUGAUGACAUCACUUCCUGUUCCACUCCCGAUGACAUCACUGUUGAUUUUUCAGCCUGAUUGAUGACAUCACUUCCGGUUCCUGGGCCACUGAUGACGCCACUUCCGGUCCUGAUGACGUGACUUCCUGUCUCAGCCUUUCAAACCUUACAAUCAGUUCUGGUUUGGACUCAGACCUGUGAAUGACCCUUUUGCAGCCAGGGCACGAUAUACUGGUGGCUGCUGCCCCAAACCUUCUUUGGUGUCAUUUGACUAUUAUUGUGACAUCAUCUCAACAUCAAAUUUUUGGUCAAUGACAAUACUUUCGCUACACAUUGUAUACGAGAAAGUAAAAAACAAGGAAAUGAACUUUUAGCCAACCUUUUAGCCCGUCGCCUUGGUUACUCUUCAGGUCGUAACCUUAGAGGCCACGCCCCUAGAAACAUGGUCAGCUGUCUUAAUGACGGAUGUCCAAGAAAGCGACGACAGCUAAGAAAACUAAAUGGCAGCCAAAGAAAUGAAACAAUAGUUAAAAUGCAGGACC